GUAAGGGGAAUUUCACUGAGCUUUAGUGUUAAGAAAACAAACAUAGCCUAUGUCUUAAGGGAACGCAAAGUUUUGAUAAAAAGUUACUAAAGCUAAUUUAUUUCAAAAUAAGAAACUAAACUAGGUUAUAAAUUCAUCUACAAAACUUGCAAAAUGAAGAAAAAAAUGACGUGGAAGAACGCAGAAGGUACUAUAAACGACUCGCUUGAGCAUGGCGUAUCAUUUCCGCAUCAUAAAGAACCCUUAGUCAUUUUAAACAGACAAAUGGCUAAAUGCAGAAGAAAAGAGCCCUUCGACUCGUUUGAAUCCCUGCUUGUGCCGAGGUCGGAAUGGAAUGCUGUACCUCAGUCGAAACAGCCAGAGCCAAUGGAAACACCGAUAUCUUUCAUACGUUAUUGGAAAUUCACGAACACGGAUUCUUGCAGGAAGAAACACGAAUGUAACUUUAUUCUACAAGAUUUGCAAGAGCGGCAUAUGAGUGUUGGUUUCGGCGAUAUUCGCUUCAAUUUCCUUAUAGGAGGAGAUGGUUCUAUAUAUGAAGGCAGAGGGUGGAAUUCUAAGCCACCAGACGACCCUACGUAUGAGUAUAACACCGAAAACCACUUGGAGAUAGGGUUCAUAGGGGACAUCAGGUUAAAAUCCAAGCUAUAUAACGCAUACAGGAUGCAGCUUCAGUUCGAAUCAGGGCACAUUCUUGUCGAUUAUGGUCAGAAAAACAAUCUAAUAUCCAAGAAACUAAAAUGCACAUGGAAAGAGAAAUGACGUAUACUGCGAGGAAUUGGGAUAAAAUAAAAGCAAUGGUUUGUGAAAAUGGCCAAGAAAAAACGCUGCAUGGCCAGAAGUCAUCUGACCUACACUACUACUGAUACGCUUUAUAUGUGUAUCACAUGAACAUCUGAUAGGGAUAACAAUUAAUAAUACAGACAAAAAUAUGAAAUUAUUUUUAUAUGACCUUAUCAACAACCAUAUCACAAUCUAAAUUUAUCUUUUGAAAAAGCAAACUUGUUUGAGUAGCCGUAGGCAGAGUCGACUUUUUUAUUCAUAUUGCUAAAUGAGUCAAAUAUUUUGGUUGAUUUUCCAGUUGUUAAGUAUAAUAAUUCUUGCGAAAAUUUUACCAUUGAAAUUAAGGGAUGUAAAAAAAGGCAAAAAAGCGACACAAACGUUAAAAGUUCUCGAGAAAUAGAAUAAAGUGUUAUGGAUGGUUUUUAUGUAUUAGUUCUUCAAAUCGUAGGCCUGAUUUGGGUUAUUAUCUUGCAUUUUAACUCUUAAAUGUGAUUGAAGUGACAAGUGAAUCAAGAUUAUUAAAGCUAAGUGCUAAAAAAUUAAUCAGUACAAAUGGAAGUUGAUCGUAACCCCCCUCUACUCAACAUAAUCUCUAGACAGGAAUGGGGGGGCGAACCCCCAAAACUAGAAUUGGAAAACUUAAGAAAACCGUGCAUCUGUAUUCGCCUGUGGCUUUAUUCAGAUACACCAGAAUGUGAUACUAAGGAGGAGUGUAUUAAAACAGUGCGGGAAAUCCAGCAAAGAAACUUCAAAGAAGGAUUGGAUGACAUCCG